CUACGGGGGGCAGCAGUGGGGAAUAUUGCACAAUGGGGGAAACCCUGAUGCAGCAACGCCGCGUGGGGGAUGACGCAUUUCGGUGUGUAAACUCCUUUUAUAUCCCAAGAUAAUGACGGUAGGAUAUGAAUAAGCACCGGCUAACUCCGUGCCAGCAGCCGCGGUAAUACGGAGGGUGCAAGCGUGUACUCGGAAUCACUGGGCGUAAAGGGCGCGUAGGCGGGUUGUCAAGUCUUGAGUGAAAUCCAACGGCUCAACCGUUGAACUGCUUGAGAAACUGGCAGCCUAGAGUGAGGGAGAGGUAGAUGGAAUUGGUGGUGUAGGGGUAAAAUCCGUAGAGAUCACCAGGAAUACCCAUUGCGAAGGCGAUCUGCUGGAACUCUACUGACGCUGAGGCGCGAAAGCGUGGGGAGCAAACAGGAUUAGAUACCCCUGUAGUC
rnacentral:rRNA from 1 species